GGAGAGGGCCCCAGCUCCGCAGCCCCCUCCCCCACGCCGGAGAGUGUUGCCGCCCUGCAGCGCACCUUCUCGCAGGUUCUCCAGCAGAACCCGGCGACUUCGAGCCCGAGCCCCGCCGGCCAGCAGCAGGGGGGGGGCAUUGCCCGAGGCCCCCAAGCCAACAACACCACCCUCAGCCCCCAGGGAGAGCCUUUUGAUCUACCCGGCAACCAAGCCAGCAGCUGGGGUGGAGCCAUACGCAGGGAUCUCCCGCCUGCUGCGUACUACCUUCAAGCCCGCGGACCUCGGACUCGGCAGCGUCGAGAUCAAGCAAGUGCGAGCACCCUCGCGAUCCCCACCCGAAGACAGACAGCAACCCCGAAUCGACCAUAAAAUUGUUUAUUCCUCAAGAAGCCUGUAAUCAAGAACCAACUACCGCCGACCAUCAUCCAGCAAGCCGUCCAGAUCCAUAAUUCAACCAUAGAACUGUUAAAACAUCAAGCAUCAUGUAAAAAGAACUUUCAACAACCAUCGUCAACUAGCCCGAAACGCCACUCAAGAGAAGUCAUCAGAGAAGAACUGGGGGGGAGGGAGAUACAUUUUAGUAAUU